rnacentral:lncRNA from 1 species
UUGAGAGUAGACAGGAUGCACACCCUUUAUCGCUAGCAUACCGAGGUGCUGGUGGCGAGUUCCAAACUUGGGUUUUGCAGGUUGCCUUCGCGAAUUUGUGCGUGAAGCUAGCUUGGGUGUUAAGAAUGCUGCAUGAAGAUUGCUACUACAUGCAAGCCGCCCUGCCUCUACCUGCACCAACCACAUGUCAGAUUCCAGGAUGCACGUGCGCUUCCUGAUAUACUGACCUGCAUUAGUUUUUGGCCGUUAAUGUGGUGACAUUGUGCAAAUGUUAGCUGGCCAGAUAGAUACAAGGGCUGUGGCAAGCGUGCAUACCGAUUUAACCUUUUAUGUGUAAGCGUGCUAGAGAUGGAAAGGCUCUCACCUUUCAGUCCUGCCCUCCUAGGGUGCAUCCGGGGGGUGGGGCAGUAAGCUGAUUCGUACUGCAAAAAAAUCCAUUUUGUUUUCACUUGCAAAAUCGUCCGAGAAUUCAUUGCCUUUUGCUGAUAUUUCUCAAUGCAUGGGCGAUGUCGAGACACAUACACACAUGUGCAUGUGUGCAUAUUCAGUUCUCGCACCCCCACACAUUCAGCUAGCACCCGUACGAACACAGACAGCCCUAAGACCACUAUACCCACGAAGAUGAGGAGCUCAACAUCAACAGCUCAACAUCAACAGGCACGGACCACAGACAGAAGACACGUGUGCACGCAAGCUCCACAUCAUCCGCAUCAGCAUGUGACACAGACAGACAGACAGUUACACUCACACGUGCACAAAAGAGCACUUUUCACCUCCACGCCGGGACGAGAUGCGGGCCAAGCAGUACAAGUGACAUCACCCACAUCAUCACCAGCUGCAGCACACGGGUAAAACGCAGAGGCGGAAGGCCCACACUGUGUGCAACAUGCCUCUGCGAUGUAACACCCCCAACCACCUAACGGAUCAUACGUACACCCCCAACUAACCCUAUCAACUGCAACUGCAACGGGGAGGGAGGCGCAUGAAUGAAAGGCCUCCAGUUCCCCCUCUGUUGUCCAGUCCCGUCCUGUGGAGACACCUCACUGCUCACCUCAGCCAGGUAUGUGUUAUAGACCGUCCCCCUCAACGGUGCCGCUUUUGUUCCUGCCCACCCCUCUCCUCUCACCCUGCACCCCCCCUGUCACCCAUCACCGCUCGCCUGUCACCCCUUUCCUCUCACCCGUCCCCCACUCCCGCUGUCACCCCAAGCCCGACUUUCCCCUUUGUUCACUGGUCCCCAAGCUAAGCCGCCAGCUAAGCCUAACACACAGACCUGCAUGUUCUACUGUUGAGGCUAUGGUUAACCGUUUCCAUGGAGGGUCACAGCACCAUGUGUGUGUUACAUAUGCAAUAUCCAUGUGGGGCCUGAGGUUUGACAUGCACAUGAAGCUAGCUUGGGUUGUUAGGAAUGCCAAGACACAUGCUGUGAGUGUGGUGCCUCCAUUUUUGUGCUGCAGCACUCCCAGGCACCUUGGUGUUGUUGUGAAGCACAUAGUGGUUAACUACUCGUUGAAAUGACUGCUGCUGUCAGCAAGCAUUUGUCAGACUCCAUCCCCG